rnacentral:rRNA from 1 species
UGGGGAAUAUUGCGCAAUGGGCGAAAGCCUGACGCAGCAACGCCGCGUGAGUGAUGAAGGCCUUCGGGUCGUAAAGCUCUGUCGGAGGGAACGAAUGCUCCUGAAGUUAACAGCCUCAGGAGGUGACGGUACCCUCAAAGGAAGCACCGGCUAACUCUGUGCCAGCAGCCGCGGUAAUACAGAGGGUGCAAGCGUUGUUCGGAAUCAUUGGGCGUAAAGGGCGCGUAGGCGGUGUGUCAAGUCAGUUGUGAAAUCUCCGAGCUUAACUCGGAACGGUCAACUGAUACUGUCACACUAGAGUACAGAAGGGGCAAUCGGAAUUCUUGGUGUAGCGGUGAAAUGCGUAGAUAUCAAGAGGAACACCUGAGGCGAAGGCGGGUUGCUGGGCUGAUACUGACGCUGAGGCGCGAAAGCUAGGGUAGCAAACGGGAUUAGAUACCCAUGUAGUCCCUGAGCGGGCUGGCAAGGCGCAU